CCGGCACGGGUGAGUAACACGUAUCCAACCUGCCGUCUACUCUUGGACAGCCUUCUGAAAGGAAGAUUAAUACAAGAUGGCAUCAUGAGUUCACAUGUUCACAUGAUUAAAGGUAUUCCGGUAGACGAUGGGGAUGCGUUCCAUUAGUUUGUUGGCGGGGUAACGGCCCACCAAGACUACGAUGGAUAGGGGUUCUGAGAGGAAGGUCCCCCACAUUGGAACUGAGACACGGUCCAA
rnacentral:rRNA from 1 species